UUAAGUAUAACCUGCCAGACAGGGAAACUGCGUACGGCUCAUUACACCAGCCUUAAUUUACUUGACCUUGACAACCUACUUGGAUAACUGUGGUAAUUCUAGAGCUAAUACAUGCACCAAAGCUCCGAUCCUCGCGGAGAGGAGCGCAUUUGUUCGCCACAAAACCAAGCGCCCAUCUGGGCGUCCAGUGCUGAACCAGAACAACUCAGCUGAUCGCACGGUCUUGUACCGGCGACGUGUCUUUCAAGUGUCUGCCUUAUCAACUUUCGAUGGUAGUGUACCUGACUACCAUGGUUGUGACGGGUAACGGAGGAUAAGGGUUCGACUCCGGAGAAGGGGCCUGAGAAAUGGCCACUACGUCUAAGGAUGGCAGCAGGCGCGCAAAUUACCCACUCUCAACGCGAGGAGGUAGUGACGAGAAAUAACGAGACCGUUCUCAUACGAGGCCGGUUAUUGGAAUGGGUACAAUUUAAAC
rnacentral:rRNA from 1 species